UCAAACUUGGUCAUUCAGAGGAAGUAAAAGUCGUAACAAGGUUUCCGUAGGUGAACCUGCGGAAGGAUCAUUCACAAUAAAGUGUGUCUAGCACUUUUUAAAAAAUCUAGUACCCACCUUGUGUGCAACGUAUUGAGGUCAUGUGAUUCGUCACGUGAUUCAAUAAUACCAACCUUUAUUUUUAACGUAUGUCUGAAGAUAUUAUGAAUACCAAAUUCAAAUAUAACUUUCAACAACGGAUCUCUUGGCUCUCACAUCGAUGAAGAACGCAGC
rnacentral:misc_RNA from 1 species